rnacentral:tRNA from 1 species
GGGAAUGUAGCUCAAUAAUAGAGUGCUUUGCCUAUCAAGCACAAGGUUCUGGGUUCAAUCCCCAGUACCA